GGCUGAAAAAGUCCCUUGCGUCCCAGGUCCCGCCUUCCUGAGAUGUUUCUGUGACCAAAUAUAAAAUGUGAAAAUAUAGUAAAGCCUCUUCAUGAAAGCAGUGGUACACCAGAAAACGAAGCUCAACUUGAGCAAGUGGACAAACAAAACACUGCAUCUUUAGUUAUCAAGAACCUUGGAGUAACCCUGGACCCCUGCCUCU